rnacentral:rRNA from 1 species
CAAUGGGCGGGAGCCUGAACCAGCCAAGUCGCGUGAGGGAGUAAGGCCCUACGGGUCGUAAACCUCUUUUGCCGGGGAGCAGGGCGGCGGACGUGUCCGCCGUUUGAGAGUACCCGGAGAAAAAGCAUCGGCUAACUCCGUGCCAGCAGCCGCGGUAAUACGGAGGAUGCGAGCGUUAUCCGGAUUUACUGGGUGUAAAGGGCGUGUAGGCGGGAAAGCAAGUCAGAUGUGAAAACCAUGGGCUCAACCUGUGGCCUGCAUUUGAAACUGUUUUUCUUGAGUACUGGAGAGGCAGACGGAAUUCCUAGUGUAGCGGUGAAAUGCGUAGAUAUUAGGAGGAACACCAGUGGCGAAGGCGGUCUGCUGGACAGCAACUGACGCUGAGGCGCGAAAGCGUGGGGAGCAAACAG